CCCCGGUAAACGGCGGCCGUAACUAUAACGGUCCUAAGGUAGCGAAAUUCCUUGUCGGGUAAGUUCCGACCUGCACGAAUGGCGUAAUGAUGGCCAGGCUGUCUCCACCCGAGACUCAGUGAAAUUGAACUCGCUGUGAAGAUGCAGUGUACCCGCGGCAAGACGGAAAGACCCCGUGAACCUUUACUAUAGCUUGACACUGAACAUUGAGCCUUGAUGUGUAGGAUAGGUGGGAGGCUUUGAAGUGUGGACGCCAGUCUGCAUGGAGCCGACCUUGAAAUACCACCCUUUAAUGUUUGAUGUUCUAACGUGGACCCGUAAUCCGGGUUGCGGACAGUGUCUGGUGGGUAGUUUGACUGGGGCGGUCUCCUCCUAAAGAGUAACGGAGGAGCACGAAGGUUGGCUAAUCCUGGUCGGACAUCAGGAGGUUAGUGCAAUGGCAUAAGCCAGCUUGACUGCGAGCGUGACGGCGCGAGCAGGUGCGAAAGCAGGUCAUAGUGAUCCGGUGGUUCUGAAUGGAAGGGCCAUCGCUCAACGGAUAAAAGGUACUCCGGGGAUAACAGGCUGAUACCGCCCAAGAGUUCAUAUCGACGGCGGUGUUUGGCACCUCGAUGUCGGCUCAUCACAUCCUGGGGCUGAAGUAGGUCCCAAGGGUAUGGCUGUUCGCCAUUUAAAGUGGUACGCGAGCUGGGUUUAGAACGUCGUGAGACAGUUCGGUCCCUAUCUGCCGUGGGCGCUGGAGAACUGAGGGGG
rnacentral:rRNA from 1 species